rnacentral:rRNA from 1 species
AUUGAACGCUGGCGGCAUGCUUUACACAUGCAAGUCGAACGGCAGCGCGGGCUUCGGCCUGGCGGCGAGUGGCGAACGGGUGAGUAAUACAUCGGAACGUGCCCAGUCGUGGGGGAUAGCUCGGCGAAAGCCGGAUUAAUACCGCAUACGACCUGAGGGUGAAAGCGGGGGAUCUUCGGACCUCGCGCUAUUGUAGCGGCCGAUGGCAGAUUAGCUAGUUGGUGGGGUAACGGCCUACCAAGGCGAAGAUCUGUAGCUGGUCUGAGAGGACGACCAGCCACACGGGGACUGAGGCACGGCCCAGACUCCUACGGUAGGCAGCGGUGGGGAAUUUUGGACAAUGGGCGAAAGCCUGAUCCAGCAAUGCCGCGUGUGUGAUGAAGGCCUUCGGGUUGUAAAGCACUUUUGGCGGGAACGAAAAGGACUGUGCCAAUACCACGGUUCGAUGACGGUACCCGCAGAAUAAGCACCGGCUAACUACGUG